AUUGAACGCUGGCGGCAUGCUUUACACAUGCAAGUCGAACGGUAACAGGCCGCAAGGUGCUGACGAGUGGCGAACGGGUGAGUAAUGCAUCGGAACGUGCCCAGUCGUGGGGGAUAACGCAGCGAAAGCUGUGCUAAUACCGCAUACGAUCUAUGGAUGAAAGCGGGGGACCGUAAGGCCUCGCGCGAUUGGAGCGGCCGACGUCAGAUUAGGUAGUUGGUGGGGUAAAGGCCUACCAAGCCGACGAUCUGUAGCUGGUCUGAGAGGACGACCAGCCACACUGGGACUGAGACACGGCCCAGACUCCUACGGGAGGCAGCAGUGGGGAAUUUUGGACAAUGGGCGCAAGCCUGAUCCAGCGAUGCCGCGUGCAGGAAGAAGGCCUUCGGGUUGUAAACUGCUUUUGUACGGAACGAAACGGUCUGGGUUAAUACCCUGGGCUAAUGACGGUACCGUAAGAAUAAGCACCGGCUAACUACGUGCCAGCAGCCGCCGCUG
rnacentral:rRNA from 1 species